rnacentral:tRNA from 1 species
GGGCACGUAGCUCAACGGUUAGAGCUGGCCGCUCAUAACGGCUUGGUUGUGGGUUCGAUUCCUACCGUGCCCA